rnacentral:rRNA from 1 species
AAAGUUAGCGUGCUGUCACAAACUAGGACGUGGAUUCCCACUUAGUGGCAGACGGGUGAGUAAUGCAAUGGGUAACCUACCUAGGGACUGGACAACUAUUGAACGAUAGCUAAUACCGGAUGAUUCAUAGAUAGAUAACUAUUUAUGCUAAAGGAGCUUCGGCUCACCUUAGGAUGGGCCCGUGUUGUAUUAGCUAGUUGGUGAGGUAAUGGCUUACCAAGGCUACGAUGCAUAUCCGAGCUGAGAGGCUGAUCGGACACAUUGGAACUGAGAUACGGUCCAAACUCCUACGGGAGGCAGCAGUUAGGAAUAUUCGUCAAUGGGGGGAACCCUGAACGAGCAAUGCCGCGUGAGUGAUGAAGGUCUUAAUGAUUGUAAAACUCUGUUGCAAAGGGAGAACAGCUAUCAUAGGAAAUGAUGAUAGUGUGACGGUACUUUGCCAGAAAGCCCCGGCUAACUACGUG